GAUCACUUCUAAGGUAAUUUAUUUUGACACUUAAUUUAGGCAACUACAUCAAGAGUAGAGACAAUAGUUGAUAGAUUUAUUCACCUACCAAGAGUUUUACUCUGUGAACUCACUGCUGAUCCAUUUUUCACUAGCCUCGCUAUUAAAUCCAGUGUCACAUUUGAACUAUUGAAUAUCUUUGAGUACAUUUAUCUUUAGCGGUUCCUUAAAAAAUUAAAUACAACUGCUUCGUUGUUUGACAGCUUUGACCAAUUGACAUGCUCUAUUCCUCUAUAUGUACAGAAAAUGUUGGUCCCUUACUCCUGAUUCCUUUUUUUAAUGUAGAUAACGAACACUAUGUUCUAAAAAGUGCAGAGCCAUGUGUCUCAAAUCUGAAACACGGUGAAAGAUUUAGGAGGAGGCUUGUAGUCUCUAAAAACAUACUCUGAUGCAUAUCUGUAAUCGAAGAAGCCAAUAACAUGUGGUCAUCUGAAGUUUACUUGAAAAUGAAGGAAGAUGUUAUCUUGCUUCUCUCAUGGCCAGAUUAGGUGUAUUGCAUACAUCAGCUAUGUUUAAGUUAUUCUUAAUGCUACAGGCUAAUCAUCCAUUUCAAUAAAGGGAGCGAUUGUACCCACCUGAGCUACACUGUCAGGGAUCAGUUAUGGACCCUUGCUCAGGAAACUCAGAGGAUAAUCAAGAUCCCUUUUUGAAUAUUACUCAAUCUUAUACUAGAAGAACUUGGCGUUUCAAAGGAUGAAUUCCAUCUUGAGCUAUGCGAAUAUAUCUAAGUUUGUGUGACUGUUCUGUUUAACACCUCUGCGCUACCAGCGGAGUGAUCUUCUCUGUACCUUUGGUGUUUGUAAUAAAGUCAAAAGAACUAUGAAACA